rnacentral:rRNA from 1 species
CCUACGGGUGGCAGCAGUGGGGAAUAUUGGACAAUGGGGGCAACCCUGAUCCAGCCAUGCCGCGUGUGUGAAGAAGGCCCUCGGGUUGUAAAGCACUUUCAGUGAGGAAGAACGCCUGGUGGUUAAUACCCAUCAGGAAAGACAUCACUCAGAGAAGAAGCACCGGCUAACUCCGUGCCAGCAGCCGCGGUAAUACGGAGGGUGCGAGCGUUAAUCGGAAUUACUGGGCGUAAAGCGCGCGUAGGUGGCUUGAUAAGCCGGUUGUGAAAGCCCCGGGCUCAACCUGGGAACGGCAUCCGGAACUGUCAAGCUAGAGUGCAGGAGAGGAAGGUAGAAUUCCCGGUGUAGCGGUGAAAUGCGUAGAGAUCGGGAGGAAUACCAGUGGCGAAGGCGGCCUUCUGGACUGACACUGACACUGAGGUGCGAAAGCGUGGGUAGCAAACAGGAUUAGAUACCCCGGUAGUC